rnacentral:tRNA from 1 species
GGAGCUACAGCUCAGUGGCAGAGCUCAUGCUUAGCAUUCAUGAGGUCCGGGGUUCAAUCCCUAGCACCA